rnacentral:rRNA from 1 species
CUUGUUGGUGGGGUAACGGCCUACCAAGGCUCCGAUCCGUAGCUGGUCUGAGAGGACGAUCAGCCACACUGGGACUGAGACACGGCCCAGACUCCUACGGGAGGCAGCAGUGGGGAAUCUUGCGCAAUGGGCGAAAGCCUGACGCAGCGACGCCGCGUGAGGGAGGAAGGCCUUCGGGUUGUAAACCUCUUUCAGGAGGGACGAAGCUACUCGGGUUAAUAGCCCAGAGGGUGACGGUACCUCCAGAAGAAGCCCCGGCUAACUACGUGCCAGCAGCCGCGGUAAUACGUAGGGGGCAAGCGUUGUCCGGAUUUACUGGGCGUAAAGAGCGUGUAGGCGGCCAAACAGGUCCGUUGUGAAAACUGGAGGCUCAACCUCCAGACGUCGACGGAAACCGUGUGGCUAGAGUCCGGAAGAGGAGAGUGGAAUUCCUGGUGUAGCGGUGAAAUGCGCAGAUAUCAGGAAGAACACCAAUGGCGAAGGCAGCUCUCUGGGACGGUACUGACGCUGAGACGCGAAAGCGUGGGGAGCGAACAGGAUUAGAUACCCUGGUAGUCCACGCCGUAAACGAUGGGUGCUAGGUGUGGGAGGUGUCGACUCCUUCCGUGCCGUAGCUAACGCAUUAAGCACCCCGCCUGGGGAGUACGGCCGCAAGGCUAAAACUCAAAGGAAUUGACG